UAUCUUAUACUUUCAAUAUUCGGGGAGAGAUACGAGCCACCCCUCCCUUGUUGGACUGAUCCUCGUUUUUGGUGAAAUCUGAUUGGCUCAGUCGUUUCCCACCUGUGUGACGUUUCUCAUUGUAAAGGUAAUGAGCGACAAUGGAGAAAAGACAGAAGACAGGAGCUGGAACAGAAAUGUGUAGUGCAGAAAAAUUACGAGCUAAAAAGUGACCACUAAAUGCACCAUCUGACAGAUCUCCUCCGUGGUGUGCUGCGCUGCUCCGAGGCUCACAGUGGUGUCAGCAUGUGCAACUUAAAGCCGAAGAGAAGAGGAGAGAAGAGGAGAGAAGAGACAUCUGGGUCAACAUCCAGUGGAGAGAGCUGAAUCAUCAACAUCAAAGACUAAAACCUGGUACAUUAUGUGUGCCAGUGCUGCUGGCUGUAGUGCUGCUCAUUGAUCGGCUGCUUUCUCUUGAAAAAAGUGAUUCCUCUGGUCGAGUGUCAGGAGACAUGAGUGUGCUUAAACCUUCAGGUC